CCAGGCGUGACGGCUCCAUGAAGCAUCCAUGGCUCCAAAAUGCCUCUGCCUCGCACUGAUUUGUCCUCUGCACCGUCAUGGCAUCCAUUAAUCGCCCAACCCAGUGGCUUUCACAGGAACCACGGUUUAUUUUUAUGCAGCGGUCUCCCAUGUGACAGCGUUAGCUAUGCAAGGGCAGAGAUUCUUCUCUUUCUGUUCUUUGAUUUGCUCGAAGAGCGUAGAAGAGUGCCUGUCACCACAUCACUGACAAAUGAACUGAUGUAUUUCGGAUGGUCGCAAGGCCUUCUGGUGGUUCCCUAUCUGAAUGUUUACAAAAUGUGGAAAUCCCUCCCGAGUCACUCUCUCAGAUCCUGACACAGACUGCAGGAAGUUAGCAGGGAAGAGCCUGGCUCUGGCUGGACCGAGCAGGAGAAGAGAGGAGUCAAGCUCCACCUACGGUGGAGGAAAGUUCAGUAGGCAAAAGCAGCUUCUCCAGGGCUUCCCAGCACCGAGAUGGAGCAGCAAUCUUUCUUCUCUGAGAUUAACGUGGCCUGCAGCCACA